GACGAACGCUGGCGGCGCGCUUAACACAUGCAAGUCGAGCGAGAACCAGGGCUUCGGCCCUGGGGAAAGCGGCGAACGGGUGAGUAACACGUGAGUCAUCCACCCUCGGCACCGGGAUAGCCCGGGGAAACCCGGAUUAAUACCGGAUGGCCCGUCUGCCCUUCGGGGCGGCCGGAAAAGGUAGCUUCGGCCUCUGGCCGAGGACGAGAUGGCGGCGGAUUAGCUUGUUGGUGGGGUAAUGGCCCACCAAGGCGACGAUCCGUGGCUGGUCUGAGAGGACGAUCAGCCACACUGGGACUGAGACACGGCCCAGACUCCUACGGGAGGCAGCAGUGGGGAAUCUUGCGCAAUGGGCGAAAGCCUGACGCAGCGACGCCGCGUGCGGGAAGAAGGCCUUCGGGUUGUAAACCGCUUUCAGGAGGGACGAAGCCACUCGGGUUAAUAGCCCAGAGGGUGACGGUACCUCCAGAAGAAGCCCCGGCUAACUACGUGCCAGCCGCCGCGGUAACAC
rnacentral:rRNA from 1 species